GUGCUCUAGUCGGCAGCAUGUAUACAAAAAUUGGAAAGACACGGAGAUUAACAUGGCCCCUGUGCAAGGAUUACAUACAAAUUCGCUUAGUGUUGCAUUUUUUU